rnacentral:rRNA from 1 species
UACGUAGGGGGCAAGCGUUAUCCGGAUUUACUGGGUGUAAAGGGAGCGCAGGCGGUAUGGCAAGUCAGAUGUGAAAACCCAGGGCUCAACCCUGGGACUGCAUUUGAAACUGUACUUCUUGAGUGCUGGAGAGGCAAUCGGAAUUCCGUGUGUAGCGGUGAAAUGCGUAGAUAUACGGAGGAACACCAGUGGCGAAGGCGGAUUGCUGGACAGUAACUGACGCUGAGGCGCGAAAGCGUGGGGAGCAAACAGG